UACGUAGGGGGCGAGCGUUGUCCGGAAUCAUUGGGCGUAAAGCGCGUGUAGGCGGCUCGAUAAGUCCGGUGUGAAACCUUGGGGCUCAACCCCAAGCCUGCACUGGAUACUGCCGAGCUAGAGUCCGGGAGGGGAGAGCGGAAUUCCUAGUGUAGCGGUGAAAUGCGCAGAUAUUAGGAAGAACACCGGUGGCGAAGGCGGCUCUCUGGAACGGUACUGACGCUGAGACGGCGAAAGCGUGGGGAGCGAACAGGA
rnacentral:rRNA from 1 species